UACGGAGGAUCCAAGCGUUAUCUGGAUUUAUUGGGUUUAAAGGGUGCGUAGGUGGCCUGUUAAGUCAGGGGUGAAAGACGGUAGCUUAACUAUCGCAGUGCCCUUGAUACUGAUGGGCUUGAAUGAACUAGAGGUAGGCGGAAUGUGACAAGUAGCGGUGAAAUGCAUAGAUAUGUCACAGAACACCAAUUGCGAAGGCAGCUUACUAUGGUUUUAUUGACACUGAGGCACGAAAGCGUGGGGAUCAAACAGG
rnacentral:rRNA from 1 species